rnacentral:rRNA from 1 species
AUUACUCCUACGGGAGGCAGCAGUAGGGAAUCUUCCACAAUGGGCGAAAGCCUGAUGGAGCAACGCCGCGUGAGUGAAGAAGGUUUUCGGAUCGUAAAACUCUGUUGUAAGGGAAGAACAAGUACAGUAGUAACUGGCUGUACCUUGACGGUACCUUAUUAGAAAGCCACGGCUAACUACGUGCCAGCAGCCGCGGUAAUAAU